UGCACCAUCUCGGGGGAAGGAGGUUAUCGGGACUGGCUUCCCUUUUGUUCUGGUCCUGGAGCUCCGCGCGUUGGUUGUUCUCUAAUUGGUGCGAUUUCAGUUGGCAAUUUCCUAUGCUUUUUACUAUGGAAGAUGGCAGCAAGGUGAUCCAGAUACCCACAAGCC